UCUAUAAAAACAGAGAUUACAACAUAUAAACAGUACUAUAGUAAUGAGAGAUGGUUUGAGGAAUGAGGUUGCCAAGCAGCAAAGAAUUGAGAAAGAAAUGCAUUAAAAAAUGUGAACAACAGAAAAUGAUCAUUUCAAAAUUGAACACUAUGAUUGAUCAGGCAGAGGAACAGAUGAUAAAAUUAAGAAAUAGAUAUGAAAAAGCCAUAACACAUAGGAAUGAGAGAGGUAUUGAAAGAAAGAAAAUUGAUUGAAAGAAAUGAGGUGUGCAUUUUCUAGGAAAAAGUUAACAUUCAAGAUCAAAUGAUCCGGAAUGGUAACGUAGAGUUGCAAACUAGGGAAGAAGAGAUCCGGUUUAUACAGAUGAACAAAGAGAAAUGCUCUCCAUGCUCAAACACCUAACAGAAUCUUGAAGGAGAACUAGUCAAUUUACAA